rnacentral:rRNA from 1 species
UAGCAUAUCAAUAAGCGGAGGAAAAGAAACCAACAGGGAUUGCCCUAGUAACGGCGAGUGAAGCGGCAACAGCUCAAAUUUGAAAUCUGGCCCUCUUUGGGGGUCCGAGUUGUAAUUUGCAGAGGGUGCUUUGGCAUGGGCGGCGGUCUAAGUUCCCUGGAACUGGACAUCGCAGAGGGUGAGAAUCCCGUACGUGGUCGCCUGCCCUUGCCGUGUAAAGCCCCUUCGACGAGUCGAGUUGUUUGGGAAUGCAGCUCUAAAUGGGAGGUAAAUUUCUUCUAAAGCUAAAUACCGGCCAGAGACCGAUAGCGCACAAGUAGAGUGAUCGAAAGAUGAAAAGUACUUUGGAAAGAGAGUCAAACAGCACGUGAAAUUGUUAAUAGGGAAGCGCUUGCAGCCAGACUUGCCCGCAGUUGCUCACCCAGGCUUUGGCCCGGGGCACUCUUCUGCGGGCAGGCCAGCAUCAGUUUGGGCGGUCGGAUAAAGGCCUCUGUCACGUAUCUCCCUCCGGGGUGACCUUAUAGGGGAGGCGUAAUGCGACCAGCCCGGACUGAGGUCCGCGCAUCUGCUAGGAUGCUGGCGUAAUGGCUGUAAGCGGCCCGUCUUGAAACACGGACCAAGGAGUCUAACAUCUAUGCGAGUGUUUGGGUGUCAAGCCCGGGCGCGUAAUGAAAGUGAACGGAGGUGGGAACCCCUCGGGGCGCACCAUCGACCGAUCCUGAUGUCUUCGGAUGGAUUUGAGUAAGAGCAUAGCUGUUGGGACCCGAAAGAUGGUGAACUAUGCUUGGAUAGGGUGAAGCCAGAGGAAACUCUGGUGGAGGCUCGCAGCGGUUCUGACGUGCAAAUCGAUCGUCAAAUCUGGGCAUAGGGGCGAAAGACUAAUCGAACCAU